AGCAGCUGUAACUGAAAAGGGACAGCAGAUCUUCUGCAAAAAAUUUUGGGAUACUACUAUAUAUUGUGAGAAAUUUCAAUAUCAUGAUUUGUUCCCGCCUACAGCAAGACAUCAGUUACUUAGUAUGUCCUGAUGGAGAGAGGAUAGGCUGAAGUAAUAAUGAACUGCAAACCGCCUCAGGCUGGAAACAGAGCAGGGUCAGUAGUCGCUGAUGUACGGUGCCGAAGAUUACGGUUGAGCAUAAUGAUACGUUCGAAUCUCAC
rnacentral:SRP_RNA from 1 species